ensembl:lncRNA
UGACAAAAGGCACUCGCAGGAAAGUGCUUACUUGUUAGCCUUUCUGCCUUCAACUCAGAGCACAGUCCUUUAAAACUUUUCCCUGUGGUCCUAAGCCUUCUCUCAAAUCCAGAUCCCGCAGUGGGGCUGUGUCAGAAUGGGAGGAAAACAUAGGGCCCCCAGAAGCCAAGUGCAGAAGACUCAAAAGAACACUAUGUAAUAAUAAUGGCAACCCAGUCACUGGGAAGACAGGAGAACAAAGGUCUCACAGGGUCUCUUAAAGCAUCCACUCACUGAUUGAUUUUGCAUUCACUUGAUUGAGCAUUUUUGCCUUGUCUGUGCCCUCUUACAUAUGCACAAGACAAAGUUCCCACGUGUCCCAGAAAGCAGCAUCUUUCUUGGUAACAACUGCAUCCCCCAUGUGCUCAUGCCAGCACACUCUGCCCCGUCUUAAACCUACCACCCAAAUAGCUCAAAGCAACUCUCCAGCGUUGUUAUUCACAGAACAGACACACCUCAGCUAGAGAAAAGAACUUACAACACUCGUAAAGGUGUCUCAUGUGACUUCAUGUGUCACAACCGAGGUCCAGAAGGCUUGGCUCUGAAGCCAGACUCUCUGAGUAUGGAUCCUGGCUCUGGGGUGUCCAAGUUCUGUGAUCUUGGGCAUGAUUCUUAACUUCUCUUGUGCUUUUGUUCCCUCAUCUGUAAAAAGCAGAUAACAUCAGUACAUAUCUCUUAGGCUGUUUUGAGGAUUAAUUGAAUAUAUAUUUAUAUAUUGCUUAAAACUGGCACAUAGAAAGUAUUCAGUAAGUGUUAGCUGUUUGGAUUAUUGAUAAGUGAGGGAGGCUGUGAAAGGUGCCUAGCUUGGGAAGAGAGUUGCUACUUGGCAGGAAGGGUGUCCUACGAGGGUCCCCGAUGACUUUUCAGGUGUUCCUAUUCCUUCACCUUCCACAUUUGGUGAGCUGCCUGUAAGAAACAUCACUACUGUUUUCCUGUCCAGCAGUGGCUAAGAGAUGCCAGCCUAUGAAACAGGUGUCUGGGAUAGAGAAGUUUUAGAUGUGCUUAAAUUUUACUCCUAGAAGGAAAGAAAGCAAAUGACCUCCCUUAGUACAACUGAAGGCAUCAGCCAGGAGACAGUGGUCAACUGUCCCCCACCUCCAAGAACUUGUUGAGGGGAAACUGCUCUGGGCUGGGGAUAAGCGUGGGUUGGCUAUUGGAUCAGACAAAACUUUCAUUGAAAAAGAUGCAUAUUCCCCUAUGUUCAUUGCAGCACUAUUCACAACAGCCAAGACAUGGAAACAACCUAAAUGUCCACCUAGAGAUGAAUGGAUUAAGAAGAUGUGGUAUAUAUACACUACGGAAUACUACUCUGUCAUUAAAAAAGAACAAAGUAAUGCGAUUUACAGCAACAUGGAUGGAACUAGAGACUCUCAUAGUAAGUGAAAUAAGUCAAAAAGAGAAAGACAAAUACCAUAUAAUAUCACUUAUAUCUGGAAUCUGAUAAAUGGCACAGAUAAACCUAUCUACAGAAAAGAAACAAACUCAUGAAGUUAGAGAACAGACUUGUAUUUGCCAAAGGGGAGGAAGUGGGAUGGACUGGGAGUAGAUGCAAACUAUUGCAUUUGAUGUGUAUAAGUAAUAUAUCUAUACACACCCACCCACAUUCACUUUGCUAUACAGCAGAAAUUGACAGAACAUUGUAAAUC